rnacentral:lncRNA from 15 species
CUCUUAGCAAGAAACAGCUCCAUGAGAGAACUGCAGGGAAAUAAAAGAAGGUGUGAAAGCAUUUGCACUCUUCAGUGUGGGCUUUUCCAUCCAACAGAUUACAAAACCACUGGGUGAAAAACCUUUUACAACUUUCCUCCCUUUUCCUGAUGGGUCAUCGCUGUUUGUCUUGUCAUUUAUAUGAAAUUACCCAGAAAUAAAAAUGAAAAAUGGAUGAAAUAAAAAAAGAAAGUGACAAAAUAUGUUAUUAUUACUUUAGUAUGGAAGAUAAUCAAGCUAUAAUUCAGUGUUAAAAGAAUGAAAGACUAAAUUCAAAACUGAUAUGAUUUCUAGCUAAAAUUAUCUUCCAUAAGCUUAUUUGUGUCUCUACAAUUACAUGGUCUGUAAGUUGUACUGACGAAGGCCCUUUGACUGAAUUUUUCACCUUGUAUCUUCUCUUCUACUUAUUUUGUCAAGAUCAAUGACAUGACGAAGUGAUAACAAAUGGACACCUCUUCUUACAGUAAUCAUAUCUACAUUUAACAAUAACAAAUAUUUUAGCAUUUUAGACAUGAACAAUCAUAGAAAUAUUAUGUCACCAAUGUCACAAUGUACAAUAAGACUGAUUAUAAGGGCCUACAUAUUUCUGUAGUGUGAAGAUAUAUACCUCUCAAUAUUUGGAAAGGUAAAGCUUUAGGUUCACUCCAAUCAUGCUCCAUCCUCCUCUCAAGUUCAGAGAGAGUUGUGGGUGGAGAACUCUUAUCAGAUUCGCUGGUUGUUCAGGAGAGUGUAUAAAUAUUGGACAAACUGUGAAGGUCAGUACAAACGUGCACACCGGACAACCGAGGUGAGUUGCAUAAAGAAUUCAACAUGGUUUCAAGUUUGGUGUGGUAAAUGUGUUAUCAGAACAGUGAAUAGAUUUACACCAAUUUCAAUCAUCUCUAAAUAAUGGCAAAACUUUCUUACACCUGUUAUCAGGAACGUGGGAUUAACUCUCCUCUGCACAGCUAAUUGAGCCAUGGCGAUGUUUGGAAAGGUUUUGGAGCCAGUAGGCUACAUGCAAACUGUCAGGGUCCAGGUCCAGGGGAUAUGUUCCUAUCUGGGCGGCAGUGCCACAGCAGAGGAGACUGAGGUGGCCAAGAAGAACCUGGAUCACAUCGAUCAGGAGCUGGGAGCAUCGGGUCACGGUCUCCUGGACGACCAGGAGGUCCACCGGCUGGAGGACGACCUGGCAGUGGUCUACUACCAGUUGGGUACAGCGGUGAGGGCCCAGUCAGACUUCACCAAGAAGGAGACGGAAGUGUUCCUGCAGUACGUGCAGGACUACCGGCUGGAGAGGCAGCUGACAGCACUCUACAACCGCCUGAUGGGAGUGUCGGCGCUGACCGACCAGCCCACAUUGCUGGAGGAGCUCAUACUGAGCCGCAAGCCCAAACGCUGGGAGCUGAGGGAGUUCUGCAUCAAGGUAAACUUUGUCCUUGGCACCGGUCUGCUGUGCCUCUUCACGCAGGCUUCUCUGACAGGCAGAGACCAGGCUCUGCUGAUGAAGACCUGGUCCGACCGCAUGGGCGCCCUCUACAGGAAGAUGAAGAACUCAGGAGGCCGUUGCUUAGGCUACUUUCUGGAGCAGGCGGAGGAGGAUGUACGACAGCAGCUCCAGGAAGCCGUGCAGAACCGUGCACCCCCUGAGGAGGCGGCAGCGAGCAUCCUGAAGACCCUGGAGAAGAACUACGAUUGGCUGCGCUGGGCAGUGAUGCUUCACCCUGCCGUAGGACCCAUGGAGGAUGAGAAGGAUGAGGAGAUGCAGGAGGAAAAGGGAGACGUUCCGGCAGAACAGCAGCCCAACAAUUUCCUUUCUGUGGUGUCUGAAGCACCAAUUCCCCAUGUGGUGGCGUGCUACCGUGACACACCCACUUCGCUGGACAAGAGCCGCAUCCACCAGCUCAUCGUGGACCUGGAGUGGAAGAUCCCCAACCCACCACCUGAGGUAUAUGCUUCCAUUGAAGAAGACCCAGGCAGAGCGCGGCGUUAUCUGGCCUCACGCAUGCUGAAGAAGCUACAAGAGGGGCUGGGAUCUGGUGUGGCUGUCCACGUGGUGCCGGGGAGGAUGGAGAUGAAGUGCAACUUCCCUCCAGCCUCCUACUACCUCUACGAGUACAAACACCGGUUGGCCUCGGGCACCGUGUGCGUGUUUGGAUGA